CCUUGAUGAAGGACAUUACUGCUAAGGACAUUCUGAACCAAAAAAUCAAUGAAGUCUCUUCCUCUGACAGUUAGGAUGCUUUCUAUGUUGUGGACCUCGAAGACAUUCUAAAGAAGCAUCUGAGGUGGCUAAAAGCUCUUCCCCGCGUUACUCCCUUUUACACAGUCAAGUGUAAUGAUAGCAGAGACAUAGUGAGCACCCUAGCUGUCAUUGGGACAGGAUUUGACUGUGCAAGCAAGACUGAAAUACAGUUGGUACAGGGGAUUGGGGUGCCUCAAGAGAGGAUUAUUUAUGCAAAUCCUUGUAAACAAGUGUCUCAAAUCAAUUAUGCUGCCAGUAACAGAGUCCAGAUGAUGACUUGGCAGUGAAAUUGAAUUGGUGAAAGUUGCCAAAGUGCUUCCAAGACAAAGUUGGUUUUGCGGAUUGCCACUAAUGAUUCCAAAGCAGUUUGUCACCUCAGUAUUAACUUUGGUGCCAAACUCAAAACCAGACAAAAUGUGGAACAGACAAAAGACUUAAAUAUUGACAUCAUUUGUGUC
rnacentral:lncRNA from 1 species